UGUGGCCAUAGGACAGUGGCAGUAAAGCGAACGCAGUUCGCUUUGCAGAUAUGUGGCUCUGCAUACGGGGGUCCGAUUCCCCCUGGUCACAU
rnacentral:tRNA from 1 species